rnacentral:rRNA from 1 species
AUUGAACGCUGGCGGCAGGCCUAACACAUGCAAGUCGAGCGGGGUUUUCGGACCUAGCGGCGGACGGGUGAGUAAUGCGUAGGAAGCUGCCCGAUAGAGGGGGGUAUACCCAGUUGGAAACGACUGUUAAUACCGCAUAAUGUCUACGGACCAAAGUGUGGGACCUUCGGGCCACAUGCUAUCGGAUGCGCCUACGUGGG